rnacentral:lncRNA from 1 species
CUGAGCUACGUCAUCACGCUCCUGCUGCCUCUCCUUGCCCACCGUGAUGUAUUGUGCCGUGAACUGAGAACGAAAACAAACCCGUUCUUUCCACAGUUGCCCUUGUCAGAGGAUUUUAUCAUAGCAACACUAAAAGAAACUGAGUCAUGUGUCUACACCAUAGUCAGGGGAAGUAAACCCUGAGAUGAGUGAGGUGACAGAAAGUUGGAAUCCCGGGAACUUAAAGGACUUCCCAGAGUGACCACGGCACUAUGCUCGGGGAACUGGGAGACAGGAAAAAGCAUCAGAGAGCCUAAGAGUAAAUUUCCUUUCCUGUUUUAAAGAUCCCUAAAGGGUUUUGAUUCUACCAUUUCCCGCCUUUUUAGGUGAAUGUCUGGAUUAUUGAACCUCAAGGAAUGAGAUUUCUUCAUGUUCCUGACACAUUUGAAGGUCAUUUCCAAGGUGUCCCAGUCAUAUCCAAAGGACAACAGAAGGUACUAGAGAAACUGCACAUUGCCAGCUAUCCCAGUAGUCACUGGGUCCUGACUCUUUUUCUCUUGUGCCCUGGACAGUGGGGGAAAAAAAAGAGAGUGGUCUGAUGGGCUGAGGUCAAAGGCUAGAGUUUCUUUCCUAUUAAAUAUACAAAGAAGCACUCCCAAUUAUGUAAUUUCAUUGUAUCCAUUUUGGAGCCUC